rnacentral:misc_RNA from 1 species
GAUGAAGAACGCAGCGAAAUGCGAUAAGUAAUGUGAAUUGCAGAAUUCAGUGAAUCAUCGAAUCUUUGAACGCACCUUGCACCCUUUGGACUGCUCCAAAGGGUAUGCUCGUUUGAGUGUCAUUGUACUCUCACACUCUCUGAUCCUUUGGAUUUGGGGAGCGGUGGACUCGGGUGCUUGCUGCUUCCUUGUGGCUCACCUGAAAUGCAUCAGUGCAUCUCUCGAUUGGACAUAGCACGGCGUGAUAAGUGUCUUCGCCGGCACCUCAUAUGAGGGUGGCCGAUCGGGAGCUCUGUGCUUUCAAACCGUCUUCGGACAACGCUGACAACUUGACCUCAAAUCGAGUAGGACUACCCGCUGAACUUAAGCAUAUCAAUAAGCGGAGGA